rnacentral:rRNA from 1 species
AGAGUUUGAUCCUGGCUCAGAAUGAACGCUGGCGGCGUGCCUAACACAUGCAAGUCGAAUGUGCCGCAAGGUGCAUGGCAGACGGGUGAGUAACGCGUAGGGAAUCUACCUUUUUGUGGGGAAUAACGCUCCGAAAGGAGUGGUAAUACCGCAUGAGACCGUGGCCUGGGAUGGCUACGGUGAAACCUGGGGACCGCAAGGCCUGGGGCAAAAAGAGGAUCCUGCGUCUGAUUAGCUAGUUGGCGGGGUAAUGGCCCACCAAGGCGACGAUCAGUAGCCGGCCUGAGAGGGUGAUCGGCCACACUGGAACUGAGACACGGUCCAGACUCCUACGGGAGGCAGCAGUGGGGAAUUUUGCGCAAUGGACGAAAGUCUGACGCAGCAACGCCGCGUGGGUGAUGAAGGUCUUCGGACUGUAAAACCCUGUCGUCAGGGACGAAGGUUGAGGGGUUAAUAACCCUUUAGCUUGACGGUACCUGGAGAGGAAGCCCCGGCUAACUCUGUGCCAGCAGCCGCGGUAAUACAGAGGGGGCAAGCGUUAUUCGGAAUUAUUGGGCGUAAAGGGCGCGUAGGCGGUUUGUUAAGUCAGAUGUGUAAUCCCCGAGCUCAACUUGGGAACUGCAUCUGAGACUGGCAGGCUAGAGUACUGGAGAGGGUGGUGGAAUUCCUCGUGUAGCGGUGAAAUGCGUAGAGAUGAGGAGGAACACCAGUGGCGAAGGCGGCCACCUGGACAGUAACUGACGCUGAGGCGCGAAAGUGUGGGUAGCAAACAGGAUUAGAUACCCUGGUAGUCC